AUUGAACGCUGGCGGCAUGCCUUACACAUGCAAGUCGGACGAGUGGCGAACGGGUGAGUAACGCAUCGGAACGUACCUAAUAGAGGGGGAUAACUGGCCGAAAGGGUAGCUAAUACCGCAUAUUAUUCGAUCUGCCCAGGUGUGAUUAGCUAGUUGGUGGGGUAAAGGCCCACCAAGGCGACGAUCAGUAGCUGGUCUGAGAGGAUGAUCAGCCACACUGGAACUGAGACACGGCCCAGACUCCUACGGGAGGCAGCAGUAGGGAAUAUUGGGCAAUGGGCGAAAGUCUGACCCAGCAACGCCGCGUGUGUGAAGAAGGUUUUCGGCUCGUAAAACUCUGUUGUUAGAGAAGCGGUAUCUAACCAGAAAGCCACGGCUAACUACGUGCCAGCAGCCGCGGUAAUAC
rnacentral:rRNA from 1 species